UACGUAGGGUGCGAGCGUUGUCCGGAAUUAUUGGGCGUAAAGGGCUCGUAGGCGGUUUGUCGCGUCGGGAGUGAAAUCCUCUGGCUUAACUGGGUGCUUGCUUUCGAUACGGGCAGACUAGAGGUAUGCAGGGGAGAACGGAAUUCCUGGUGUAGCGGUGAAAUGCGCAGAUAUCAGGAGGAACACCGGUGGCGAAGGCGGUUCUCUGGGCAUGAUCUGACGCUGAGGAGCGAAAGUGUGGGGAGCGAACAGG
rnacentral:rRNA from 1 species